GGCGGCGUGCCUAAUACAUGCAAGUCGAACGCUUUGUCUUUAACUGAUAUGAAGAGCUUGCUCUGAUNUGAUUUUAUCUGACAAAGAGUGGCGAACGGGUGAGUAACACGUGGGUAACCUACCUCUUAGCAGGGGAUAACAUUUGGAAACAAGUGCUAAUACCGUAUAAUACCAACAACCGCAUGGUUGUUGGUUGAAAGAUGGUUCUGCUAUCACUAAGAGAUGGACCCGCGGUGCAUUAGCUAGUUGGUAAGGUAACGGCUUACCAAGGCAAUGAUGCAUAGCCGAGUUGAGAGACUGAUCGGCCACAAUGGGACUGAGACACGGCCCAUACUCCUACGGGAGGCAGCAGUAGGGAAUCUUCCACAAUGGGCGCAAGCCUGAUGGAGCAACGCCGCGUGUGUGAUGAAGGGUUUCGGCUCGUAAAA
rnacentral:rRNA from 1 species